rnacentral:rRNA from 1 species
AGGUAAGCUACUAAGAGCGAAUGGUGGAUGCCUUGACUGGUAAAGGCGAUGAAGGACGUACUAGACUGCGAUAAGCUACGGGGAGCUGUCAAGAAGCUUUGAUCCGUAGAUUUCCGAAUGGGGCAACCCAAUGUAUAGAGAUAUACAUUACCUAUAUAGGAGCGAACGAGGGGAAUUGAAACAUCUUAGUACCCUCAGGAAAAGAAAUCAAUAGAGAUUGCGUCAGUAGCGGCGAGCGAAAGCGCAAGAGGGCAAACCCAGUGCUUGCACUGGGGGUUGUAGGACUGCAAUGUGCAAGAGGUGAGUUUAGCAGAACAUUCUGGAAAGUAUAGCCAUAGAGGGUGAUAGUCCCGUAUGCGAAAAACAAACCUUAGCUAGCAGUAUCCUGAGUAGGGCGGGACACGAGGAAUCCUGUCUGAAUCCGGGUCGACCACGAUCCAACCCUAAAUACUAAUACCAGAUCGAUAGUGCACAAGUACCGUGAGGGAAAGGUGAAAAGAACUGAGGUGAUCAGAGUGAAAUAGAACCUGAAACCAUUUGCUUACAAUCAUUCAGAGCCCUAUGUAGCAAUACAGGGUGAUGGACUGCCUUUUGCAUAAUGAGCCUGCGAGUUGUGGUGUCUGGCAAGGUUAAGCAAACGCGAAGCCGUAGCGAAAGCGAGUCUGAAUAGGGCGCUUAGUCAGAUGCUGCAGACCCGAAACGAAGUGAUCUAUCCAUGAGCAAGUUGAAGCUAGUGUAAGAACUAGUGGAGGACUGAACCCAUAGGCGUUGAAAAGCCCCGGGAUGACUUGUGGAUAGGGGUGAAAGGCCAAUCAAACUUCGUGAUAGCUGGUUCUCUCCGAAAUAUAUUUAGGUAUAGCGUUGUGUCGUAAUAUAAGGGGGUAGAGCACUGAAUGGGCUAGGGCAUACACCAAUGUACCAAACCCUAUCAAACUCCGAAUACCUUAUAUGUAAUCACAGCAGUCAGGCGGCGAGUGAUAAAAUCCGUCGUCAAGAGGGAAACAACCCAGACUACCAGCUAAGGUCCCUAAAUCUUACUUAAGUGGAAAACGAUGUGAAGUUACUUAAACAACCAGGAGGUUGGCUUAGAAGCAGCCAUCCUUUAAAGAAAGCGUAAUAGCUCACUGGUCUAGUGAUUUUGCGCGGAAAAUAUAACGGGGCUAAAGUAAGUACCGAAGCUGUAGACUUAGUUUACUAAGUGGUAGGAGAGCGUUCUAUUUGCGUCGAAGGUAUACCGGUAAGGAGUGCUGGAGCGAAUAGAAGUGAGCAUGCAGGCAUGAGUAGCGAUAAUUAAUGUGAGAAUCAUUAACGCCGUAAACCCAAGGUUUCCUACGCGAUGCUCGUCAUCGUAGGGUUAGUCGGGUCCUAAGUCGAGUCCGAAAGGGGUAGACGAUGGCAAAUUGGUUAAUAUUCCAAUACCAACAUUAGUGUGCGAUGGAAGGACGCUUAGGGCUAAGGGGGCUAGCGGAUGGAAGUGCUAGUCUAAGGUCGUAGGAGGUUAUACAGGCAAAUCCGUAUAACAAUACUCCGAGAACUGAAAGGCUUUUUGAAGUCUUCGGAUGGAUAGAAGAACCCCUGAUGCCGUCGAGCCAAGAAAAGUUUCUAAGUUUAGCUAAUGUUGCCCGUACCGUAAACCGACACAGGUGGGUGGGAUGAGUAUUCUAAGGCGCGUGGAAGAACUCUCUUUAAGGAACUCUGCAAAAUAGCACCGUA